UCCUUUAUUAAAGGUGUAGUGGCCGUGCUGCUACAUCCCUCUAUUCCCAAAGCAGAAAUUAGGUGCCUGCAUCAAACAAUGCAAGGUGUGAGAUAAUACAUCUCAGCAAGUAAACAUAACAACAACAAAUAGGACAUUGUAAAUCAACUGUGCUUACACAACCACAUGGUUCAGAACUCCUUUCUUUCUUUUGAACAGUAAAUUGCAGCAAGUAAACAAAUAACUAAAUUCUUAACGCCAAGAAGAAUCACCAUGCACAAGUCCAAAUUAACCACAUCCACAUAAUAGAUUCCACACCUCUCCCAUGAAUGCACAUGCCUACAGAUGCAAUAAUGACUUCUGCCUCCAUAUCACUAAGGAUAUGAAGCUGCACCAUACCCCUUCUCGGGCAACAUAUGAUGCUCAAUGUACCGGUACGGUCGGACCAUAAGAUCGCGACGAAACUUCAAUGCAAUGGAUGAUGAGUGCAUUAUGCAUGACAACAUCAUGAGUUCUUCCCAAAUAAAAAUGUGCUAGACAUAUACUUCCACCCAUUCCACAUAACAACCACUUGAGUAACAUAAUCAAACCUCAAACUCAACAUAUGAAAUCCAUGAAACAUGAACAUUUCAAAUGAUGGUACUCAAAAAAAAUAUGAAUAUGAACACAAUAGCACAACAUAAUCAAGUAUAAGACUCCUCAUCUGACAGACGGAAUAACCAUCACAGUUUUACUUGCCUUCACCGGAAGUUUGGGCAAAUCCCUAAGAAUGAUCCGGAAGUCCACCACCUUGGAUUCUCCCCCUUUCCUUCCUCCCUUCUUCCCUCCACCAAAACGAUUGAAGAUUCGCACCACGUGACGAUGAUCCGAGCGGCAAGGAUU
rnacentral:lncRNA from 1 species